rnacentral:rRNA from 1 species
GAUGAACGCUAGCUACAGGCUUAACACAUGCAAGUCGAGGGGCAGCACAGUGUAGCAAUACAUGGGUGGCGACCGGCGCACGGGUGCGUAACGCGUAUCCAACCUUCCCGUUACUCAGGGAUAGCCUUCCGAAAGGGAGAUUAAUACCUGAUGGUGUUCAAAUUCCGCAUGUUAUUUGAACUAAAGAUUUAUCGGUAACGGAUGGGGAUGCGUGACAUUAGGUAGAUGGCGGGGUAACGGCCCACCAUGCCUACGAUGUCUAGGGGUUCUGAGAGGAAGGUCCCCCACACUGGAACUGAGACACGGUCCAGACUCCUACGGGAGGCAGCAGUGAGGAAUAUUGGUCAAUGGUCGGAAGACUGAACCAGCCAAGUAGCGUGAAGGAUGAAGGUUCUAUGGAUUGUAAACUUCUUUUAUACGGGAAUAAAACCUCCCACGUGUGGGAGCUUGUAUGUACCGUAUGAAUAAGCAUCGGCUAACUCCGUGCCAGCCGCCGCAGUAAAAC